rnacentral:rRNA from 1 species
GUGAGGAAUUUUGCGCAAUGGCCGCAAGGCUGACGCAGCAACGCCGCGUGGGUGAUGAAGGCCUUCGGGUCGUAAAGCCCUGUCAGGUGGGAAGAAAGGCUUGGAGAAGCAACGCUUUGAGUUUGACGGUACCACCAGAGGAAGCACCGGCUAACUCCGUGCCAGCAGCCGCGGUAAUACGGAGGGUGCGAGCGUUAUUCGGAAUUACUGGGCGUAAAGCGCGUGUAAGCGGGGAUGCAAGUCUGAUGUGAAAGCCCUGGGCUUAACCUGGGAAGUGCAUUGGAAACUGCAUUUCUUGAGUACUGGAGAGGAAGGGUGAAUUCCCGGUGUAGAGGUGAAAUUCGUAGAGAUCGGGAGGAAUACCAGUGGCGUAGGCGCCCUUCUGGACGGUAACUGACGCUGAGACGCGAAAGCGUGGGGAGCAAACAGGAUUAGAAACCCGGGUAGUCC